UACGUAGGCAGCGAGCGUUGUUCGGAUUACUGGGCGUAAAGGCGUGCGAGAGCGGCCUGCUAAGUCGAACGUGAAAUCCCUGGGCUUAACCCAGGAACUGCGUCCGAUACUGGCAGGCUUGAAUCCGGGAGAGGGAUGCGGAAUUCCAGGUGUAGCGGUGAAAUGCGUAGAUAUCUGGAGGAACACCGGUGGCGAAGGCGGCAUCCUGGACCGGCAUUGACGCUGAGGCGCGAAAGCCAGGGGAGCAAAGCGGG
rnacentral:rRNA from 1 species